rnacentral:lncRNA from 1 species
GUUCUACACCCAUAUUCAAGCUUCAACUAGCUUGACAGCUUUUUGGUUACCUUCUUGAAAUUCAAGCUAGAAAUAAUAAAUAUAUUAAGUUGUAGCUAAACUGCGAACUGUGCUAAGCAUGCUUGCAGAUACGGGUAAGAUGUCAUAAACUCAGAGAGCAACUACUAUACUAUGAUAAUCUCAGAGAACAAUUACACAAGUUAGUCUAUAGGCAGAGCAAGACAAUGCUCCAUUUAAAUACAAACCAAAUACAGACCAUUCCUAUAUCCUAAGUGGCAUGUCAAAGAAACAUAAUUUUUGGGUGAUCCUCAUUCCUACCAACUUAUCAAUAUUGAGUUGCCCCUGUGGAAGUUAAUGCGCCAAUAUUUCUAUCACUAGCUAUCUUGAAUUUAUUUAAAUACAUAAAAUCCAUUAGCAUAUUAUUAUUAAUUUAUUACCUAUCCUGCAAGGCUGCAACAAGCCACUAAUCAACAAACUUGCCAAGAAGUCGAAGAAUUUACCAACAUUUUCAUUAUCUUUUUGGACAGAGAAAAAUAAGGAUAUCCAUAUGAUUUAAUCUUCCCACACCAUGCAUUCAUUAUAGUACCUCAAAACAAUAUCGUGACUGCCUGAUACGUUAUAUUUUUAAGUUAUUAUCGUGAAUUCAAUUAGCAUAAUCAAUAUACACCAAAAAUAUUUUAAGUGAGACCAAAUCCAUCCCACUACUUGCUCCUGCAUUCCAUACUUAUAGUUGAAUAAAAACCCUUUACACUUGGCUUUAAAGAAAAUUUUACUAAAAGACGACAGUAAAGAAACUUCACAAAUUAAAAUAUCAAUCCAUGACACUUUUGAAUAAGAUACUUAAGAGUUAAGAAGGCAUGAUUGCUGGUAGUAUGUAAAUGUCAUCAUGUCAAGAUUGUACUGCCAAUCAUUUCAAGAUUAUUGACACUAUCAACUCAUAAAAGAUAUAAUCUGGAUAAGAAAAUAAAAAGGCUUUUACGAUAUCUUGAACAUCUCACAGGCAGCGUAUAAUGAAGUGCGACAUCAUAUAUAUAUGUAUAUGUAAGAUCAUAAGACUGAAAUAUAGAGUGACUGAACAUAAUACCAAUCACACUAUUGUAAUUAAUGAACUAAGAAAUCCAAGAAAAAUGGUUUAAGCUAUGAUUUAUCACAAAUAAAGGAUCAGACAUAGCUCACAAAUCACAACCAAAUGAUGCUACCUUUGAGCACCAGGAAGUUGACAUGGUAAAAUCUCUUGGAUAUGUUUAUUAUGCUUGGAUGAAUAUAAUCGAUAUAAUUCAACCAGCGGAUACCCUCAAUAUGCUAAUGGAAAAUAUAUAUUCCCCUAAUUCUCUAAUCUGUGGCAGCUAGUUGGUCUUACUGAUAUUAGAAUUUGAUUGGGAUGCAAGAAAUAGCCUCAAGUCAAGUGAAGAUUACAAAACAAACUCAUCUUUGAACAAUCACGAGACACCAUGUUUCUCUUGAAUGCCAAAAAACCGAAUCUCAAUGGUGACAGGCAUGAUACAGAAAUGUUACAAACAAGAUUUGAUAGACCACCUAACUAACAUCAUUUAAUGAUGUUUCCUCUAUAAGUUUAUUUAUAUUACGAAACCUACAUACUAUGAUCUAUAUCUUAUACAUUUGUACAUAUGUGCUCUCAGUAGCUCCUUGUAUUUCAAAUUGAGUGCUCUCACACUCCCAUUCCUACUCUUGCUUCCACGUUCUGAUUUGGGCAUGAGAUUGUAAAGUCAUUAUCUUUUACAGAUUUCCAUGUUCCACAACCAAGCUCAAGAUCCCUUUUACCUUUACGGAUGUUAACAUUGCCAUCUCUAUAAAAGAUUCUCCAUUUUUGUAAAUCAAAGAGGACACAUUAAGUGAAGUUUAAGUUGAUACUCAUUUUACAAUUUUGGGUGAAACCGAGAUUAUAUACAAGGUUACAGAUCCACUCAUUUUAAUGCUGGACCAUAGGGGAACACCAGAACUACACUAAACUUUAUUGGACUUGACGCAACCUUAAUCCUAAAAGCAGGUGAGGCAUUAAUAUUAAUGAACUAAAAGACCAUGAGAUAAAUUAUAAGGGCAACUGGAAAUUCUAGAAACAUACAAAUGACAAAUCAAUCAUCGCUCCUCGUUUAAAUGUUUGACAGAACAUCAAAUAUUCUUUCUCAGAAAAUGAAACAGAAUUCCACAUGGCAACCAUUUUAUGGAAAGGUAAUAUUGUGGCCGCAAAAAAAAUAUAUAUAUAUAUUAUAAAGGGCAGCUAAACUAGAAACUUACAAAUGAUAUGAAGAUCACAUUGAUCUCGAUUUAUUAAUUGUUUAUCCAAAAGCAAUUGAAACAGAAUUCCACACAACAUUCUUUCAUGUAACCUGCAAAUUGCCAAAACUUAAUUAUUAAAAAAACCAAAAGACAUAGCAAGGGAACAGCAAUACAUAAAAUCUAACUAAUAGACAUCACAUUAUCCUUCCAUAAGCUAAUGUCAUGACUGCCAGCUAUGCCUUUAUAAUCAAUUACCUUAAUGCUGAUGUUGUUAACAAGUGGCCACUGAAAGUCUGAAACUCUGUUAGUUCAUCGUAGUUCUGAAUGUUUUUGAUUCCUCAUAGUAUGCCUUCACAACCAAAGAUAUUAGGACAAUAAAGAUUGUGUCAUAACACAGCACUCGUAUUUAACCCAUUACUUUGAUUAGUACGAGUACGACAAAUUCAAAAACACAGAAGUCAGGGACUUUAUUCCCAUCGUGACAACGAGUAAGACAUAAUCAUCAUUGUAACUUCAUAUAAUGCCAAUGAAGCUGGCAAAGCAAUAUACACAGUUUAAUACAAUUCGUUAACUCAUGUCAACCAAUUACUGACAUAAAAUCCAUUUGGAUUUCCAAAAUAAAUUGCUGACAAAAUAAGUCCCAGACAGAAAUAUCUCCUGGGUACAAAUUACAGUACAACGUUCUAAAGACAAUAAUCAAAAUGGAUAACAAAAGUCAGCAACCUUUCAACAAGAACACCGACUUCUGGUUAAGGAUCCUACAACGGAAGAUUUUAUUUUGUAGUGGCUUUUCAAAUAAACUUCUCUUUCACUUAUCCUUCGUAUAUGAAAUCCAACUUCUCAAAAAACGUAUUCAAAUUCAUUGCUUUGUUUUGUACGAAUACGACAAAUUUAAGAUCAUAAAGGCUACUACCAGUAUUCCCACCGAAAUAGCGGCUGAAACAUAAUCAUUAUUGUAAAUUCAUAUAAUUCCAACGAAGCUGGCAGUGCAAUCUACGCCAUUUAAAACAAGCCGUAAACUCAUGUCAACUUCAUGACAGCCCUAAAUAACAACCAAUUGGAUUUCUCCCAAUAAAAGAAUCGCAAACAGUACAACCAUCAAUGAAGAAGCAUAUCCAUCUCCUGAGGAAAUUUUACAGUCCAACUUUAUAAUGACACAAAGUAACUAAUAAAUUAUGAAAUGGAUAAGAAAAGUCAGCCACUUCUAGACAAAAGCAACAAAUGUUUCCUGUUAAGGAUCCGACAAGAUAUUACUUUUUAGUGUUUUUUCAUAUAAAGUUCUCUUUCAUUUAUUUCUUCAGAUAUGAAAUCCAAAUGCUCAGUUUCGUGAACAAGGAAUAAUGCCAACAAGAAUCAAAAACAGUUCCAUUAAUUAACGAACAGUGACACAUAAGGACACCUUUCACCCACCAAUAGAAGGAAAACAAAACAAGAUUCUAUUUUCUACAAUCGCAAGCCACACAUAUUUGGCAAUCUAUGAAGCCAUGAAUAAGGAAAUGGAAUGCGGCUGACAAGCAUCCAUAACUAUAGUUCAUACAUAUAUAGAAAAGUAUAGUGGUCGUCACUUGUCAUCAUUGAUUCCAUAAAAAGAACUGCAUUGUACUGCUCAUUAAGUUGCUUUUAUCGGGGCCUUCCAUGGCCGCCAAAGCAUUUUCAAUGUCUUUAUGAUUAAAAUGGUGCACCAGAAUAGUCCUAAAUGUUUAUUUUAUCUUGAAAACCCUAACUUUUGUCACAUUCCCUGAAUCCACGCAAGUCAAAUCCAUGACAUUACAUUCAGCUACAGAAAUAGCAAGCAAGGGAAGCAGAGAAACUGACUCUUUUUUGUUUGUUACCAUUUCUGUUAUCUUUUUCAGUUUUUCUUCUCUGAAAUUUCUGAAAAUUAGCACACACUUGGUUAUCAUUUUCAAUAAAAAUUCUCAAAUAAUUCUUAGUAAAAUUAUGAAAAUUUUGAGGGGGGAAAAUAAUAAUUUGCUUCUAUCUGAAAUGCACAAUCAUUUCCAUCACAGUACAUUGUAGCAAGCUUUUGGAAUAUUUUAGCAACAUUAUAUGUUAGUUCCACUCUGAAAACAUGUUUCCAGUGUUUUUUUUUUGAAAUGGGGGAUUUGUAAAAUAAAAACAAAAAGGAAAAGCCAUCAAGCACAGUUUUUAAAUUUUAAAAGAAAUUAAAAAAGAUUUAAGAACCCUACCCAAAAAAAUCCUAAAUAUCUGCAAACCCUAACUAUACCAAUGUCAAUUUAUAUCUCAGAACCCUAAUGCCUACAGCCUACUCCAGCAAAGUUCCAUGCAAUGAGGAUUGUAUUAUUGCAGUAACAGAAACGUUAGCUUAUACAUAUCACAGUCAAAGCAGAUAGACUAAUCAAAAUCAACAACAAAAAUCUUUUAUCCAACAAACAUACAAAUCAAACCUCCAGAUUUAAGUUCUACCUCCCUCAGCUUCAGCUUCAGCCUCAUAAACCAGCAACAGCUAGCAGCUCUCUUAACCUGCUAAUCACCACAUUUUCAGAACAAAAUGUUAAUCAAACUUACAGCAUUCACUUUCACGAUUGAACGAAAAACCAACCAAGUCAUAAAUAAAAAUAAAACUCACAAAUUUUACUCGAACAACCAAACAUUUCCGAUACCUCUUUGUUUCCGGUUCAAAUUUGCAUGUCAUUGAAUGUUCUAGUCAUUGAGAGAAAAAUAGACAUGGUACAUUGGAUUGCGUACACCUCCGGUCACCUGCAAUGAACAGAAUUCGAACUCGAUCGUUUCACA